rnacentral:misc_RNA from 1 species
GAUGGUUAGCUUUUUGCUUUUCUACAUAUCAUUACACCUCUCAAGGGUUAUGAAUACACAACCUAUAUGUAUGUAUAUAAGCAAUUAUUUGUAUACAUUAUGGAAUUUUACUGUUUUAUUCAGCAUAUCAAAAUUGACUGACCAGUUCUGGUCCUAAGGAUUUCACAACAUUGCUCCCACCCAAGGAGACAAAUUCAUAAAAAAAAAUAAUUAAACAGGAUGUAGUUGCAGGAGCUUCAAAGGCACACCAUCUUUUCAAUUUUCUUUGCUGGCCUUGUAUGCGUUAACAAGUUGCGUUUGUGUAUCUCCUGAAACUGGGGCAUGCUCUCUGUAUUCCAUUGUGAACUCACCUUUCCCCUGUGUCAUUGAUCGAAGAGAUGUUGAGUACCCAAACAUCAUGUUGAGAGGAACAUUGGCAGUAAUUACAGAGUCAUCUCCUUCCUGGUCAUUGCCGAUUAUGACACCUUUCCUCUUAUUGAUAUCCCCAGUAACAGUGCCCUGAAAUUCUGUUGGCACUUUUAUAUCCACCAGCAUCACAGGUUCUAAAAUUAUAGGCUUGGCUGCAGUAUAACACUGUCUAAAAGCAUAAAUAGAAGCUAAUUUGAAUGCAAGUUCACUUGAAUCAACAUUAUGUGAGGCACCAUCCGUCAAAACAACACGGAUAUUUUCAACAGGAUGACCAAUCAGAGAGCCCGAAUUGGCAGCCUCCCUGAAACCCUUUUCAAUUGCAGGGACAUAGUUUGACGGAAUAGUUUGUCCCACAAGCAUGUUCUCAAAUUCAAACUUACUGCCUGACCCUGGUUCAAGAGGUUCAACAUACCCAAUUACUCUACCAUAUUGACCUUGCCCACCACUUUGCUUCUUGUGUAGAUAAUCAAAAUCUGCUCGCUUAGUGAUGGUUUCCCUGAAGUUUACACGAGGCUUUCCAACCUGAGCUUCAACCUUAUAUUCUCUCCGGAUGCGCUCAACAUAUAUGUCCAGAUGCAGCUCCCCCAUGCCAGAUAUGAUUGUCUCACCACUCUCAGCAUCUAAACCCACACGGAAUGUAGGGUCCUCCUUCUGAAAACGAUUCAAAGCUUUUGAAAAUUGUCCACCAGAAUCUUUAGAAACAGGUGAAACAGCUAAUGACAUCACUGGUUCAGGUACAUUCAUAGAAGUCAUAGUGUAUUUGACUGAUCCAUCAGUAAAAGUAUCCCCUGAUGCACAAUCUACGCCAAACACAGCAACUAUCUGCCCAGCAUGAGCCUCUUGGAUAUCCUCCAUCUCAUUUGAAUGCAUUCUCACCAAGCGAGGAAUCUUAAUCUUCUUUCCCGUGUUCACGUUGAUUAUAAAAUCGCCCUUCCGGAUGACACCUUCAUAGAUUCUUAAAUAGGUCAAUUGACCAAAACGGCCUUCCUCUAAUUUAAAUGCCAGGGCAACCAAAGGGCCAGAAGGGUUUCCGGUUAAGGUAACCUUCUCUUCAUCCUUUGUUUGAUCCAGAGCAUAGUUGCUAACUUCAACUGGACAAGGCAAGUAACUGAGAACGCCAUCAAGAAGUGUUUGAACUCCCUUGUUCUUGAAAGCACUACCCAUAAAAAAAGGAACAAACUUCCGUGCUAUUGUCGCUCUCCUUAUGGCUGCCUCAAGAUCAGCAGAUGAUAUAGGCUCAUCAUUCAGAAAUGAUUCGGCAAGCUUAUCAUCAACCUCAGAGACUGCUUCAAUUAGCUCUCGCCGCUUCUCAGAAGCAAUUGCUUCCAUAUCAGCAGGAAUAUCUUCUGCGACAAUCUUCUCACCAUUGGAACCAUGGAAAUAGUAAGCUUUUGACUGCACGAGAUCAAUAAGACCCUUGAAGUCAUCUUCUAACCCAAUAGGAACUUGCACAGCAGCACUGUGAUGCCGAAGCUUUGCUCUUGCCUGGUUAAGAACUUUCCAAGGGUCUGCCCCCAUCCGAUCAAGUUUAUUAAUAAAAGCAAGUCUUGGGACUUCAUAUCUUCUCAUUUGCCUAUCAACAGUGAUAGAUUGACUUUGCACACCACCAACACUACAAAGGACAAGAAUGGCUCCAUCAAGGACACGCAAAGCUCUUUCCACCUCAAUUGUGAAAUCAACAUGACCUGGUGUGUCUAUUAUGUUCACCUGGUAGUCCUUCCAAGUGCAGUAAGUAGCAGCAGACUGUAUAGUAAUCCCUUUUUCUCUUUCUAAAUCCAUGGAAUCCAUCUUUGCACCAACUCCAUCUUUACCCCUAACUUCAUGGAUCUCAUGGAUCCGGCCAGUAUAAAACAAUACCCUCUCUGUCAGUGUAGUCUUACCGGAGUCAAUAUGAGCUGAAAUCCCAAUAUUCCAUACUUUUCCACCUCCAAGCGCAGUAGUGUCAAUUGCAAUGGCUGGAGAACACGGUGUUCCGUUGCGAAGAAUUAUACAGUUCCUCCCUCAGAAGUUGACGGUAAUCAGUUACCGGAGCUGGAUUGUGUGGUAGUCGGAGCAGGAAUUAGUGGUCUCUGCAUUGCUAAGGUGAUAUCGGCUAAUUAUCCCAAUUUGAUGGUGACGGAGGCGAGGGAUCGUGCCGGUGGAAACAUAACGACGGUGGAAAGAGAUGGAUACUUAUGGGAAGAAGGUCCUAACAGUUUCCAGCCUUCGGAUCCUAUGUUGACUAUGGCUGUAGAUUGUGGAUUGAAGGAUGAUUUGGUGUUGGGAGAUCCUGAUGCGCCUCGCUUUGUCUUGUGGAAGGAUAAACUAAGGCCUGUUCCCGGCAAGCUCACUGAUCUUCCCUUCUUUGAUUUGAUGAGUAUUCCUGGCAAGCUCAGAGCUGGUUUUGGUGCCAUUGGCCUUCGCCCUUCACCUCCAGGUUAUGAGGAAUCAGUUGAGCAGUUCGUGCGUCGUAAUCUUGGUGCUGAAGUCUUUGAACGUUUGAUUGAACCAUUUUGUUCUGGUGUUUAUGCUGGCGACCCAUCAAAAUUGAGUAUGAAAGCAGCAUUUGGGAAAGUGUGGAAGCUAGAACAAACUGGUGGUAGCAUUAUUGGGGGAACCUUUAAGGCAAUAAAGGAGAGAUCCAGUAACCCUAAACCGCCUCGUGAUCCGCGUUUACCAACACCAAAAGGACAAACUGUUGGUUCAUUUAGGAAGGGUCUGAGAAUGCUGCCAGAUGCAAUUUGUGAAAGACUGGGAAGCAAAGUGAAACUAUCAUGGAAGCUUUCUAGCAUUACAAAGUCAGAUAAAGGAGGAUAUCUCUUGACAUACGAGACACCAGAAGGAGUAGUUUCUCUGCGAAGUCGAAGCAUUGUCAUGACUGUUCCAUCCUAUGUAGCAAGCAACAUAUUACGCCCUCUUUCGGUCGCCGCAGCAGAUGCACUUUCAAGUUUCUACUAUCCCCCAGUUGCAGCAGUGACAAUUUCAUAUCCUCAAGAGGCUAUUCGUGAUGAGCGUCUGGUUGAUGGUGAACUAAAGGGAUUUGGGCAGUUGCAUCCACGUUCACAGGGAGUGGAAACACUAGGAACAAUAUAUAGUUCAUCACUCUUCCCUAACCGUGCUCCAAAUGGCCGGGUGCUACUCUUGAACUACAUUGGAGGAGCAACAAAUACUGAAAUUGUGUCUAAGACAGAGAGCCAACUUGUGGAAGCAGUUGACCGUGACCUCAGAAAGAUGCUUAUAAAACCCAAAGCACAAGAUCCCUUUGUUACGGGUGUGCGAGUAUGGCCACAAGCUAUCCCACAGUUUUUGGUCGGACAUCUGGAUACACUAGGUACUGCUAAAGCUGCUCUAAGUGAUAAUGGGCUUGACGGGCUAUUCCUUGGGGGUAAUUAUGUGUCUGGUGUAGCAUUGGGAAGGUGUGUUGAAGGUGCUUAUGAAAUUGCAUCUGAAGUAACUGGGUUUCUGUCUCAGUAUGCAUACAAAUGAAACCUCCUCUUGGGGAGGUACUGUUAGGUUUCAAAAGUUUUGCUUAUUAGAGUUAUUUUAGCUUUGGUAAAUGAUUUAUGCUUGAUUUCAGUCGUUUUUGUUGUAAUCUUGGUUCUCAUUUCUUUGGGACAAAAUGUUCUUGUCAAGGAACAAUACGUUUAGAGUUCGAGUAUCUGUUAAUUGUAAGAAAAUCUAACAUAUUGG